UACGUAGGGUGCGAGCGUUGUUCGGAAUCACUGGGCGUAAAGGGCGCGUAGGCGGGUUUGCAAGUCGAUUGUGAAAUCCCAGGGCUUAACCCUGGAGCUGCAGUCGAAACUGCAAGUCUUGAAUGUCUGAGAGGGUGGGAGAAUUCCUGGUGUAGUAGUGAAAUACGUAGAUAUCAGGAGGAAUACCGGCGGCGAAGGCGCCUACCUGGCAGUACAUUGACGCUGAGGCGCGAAAGCGUGGGGAGCAAACAGG
rnacentral:rRNA from 1 species